rnacentral:rRNA from 2 species
GUGGGGAAUAUUGCACAAUGGAGGGAACUCUGAUGCAGCGACGCCGCGUGAACGAAGAAGGCUUUCGAGUCGUAAAGUUCUUUUAUAUGGGAAGAUAAUGACGGUACCAUAAGAAAAAGCCCCGGCUAACUACGUGCCAGCAGCCGCGGUAAUACGUAGGGGGCUAGCGUUGUCCGGAAUCACUGGGCGUAAAGGGUUCGCAGGCGGAAAUGCAAGUCAGAUGUAAAAGGCAGUAGCUUAACUACUGUAAGCAUUUGAAACUGCAUAUCUUGAGAAGAGUAGAGGUAAGUGGAAUUUUUAGUGUAGCGGUGAAAUGCGUAGAUAUUAAAAAGAAUACCGGUGGCGAAGGCGACUUACUGGGCUCAUUCUGACGCUGAGGAACGAAAGCGUGGGUAGCAAACAGGAUUAGAAACCCUAGUAGUCC